rnacentral:ncRNA from 2 species
CUUAUAAUUAUAGCGCCCGGACUAAGCGCCCGAAAAACGGCUUAGUUGACGAGGAUGGAGGUUAUCGAAAUUUCGGCGGAUGCCUCCCGGCUGAUUUAUCAAGAUCACAGCCGUAAGGAUUUCUUCAAAACAAGGAGGCGACUCCUUGAACAAAGAGAAAUCACAUGGUCUU